GUACUGCUGAAGAGUCCCAAACUUAGACGAAACCGUUGUCCAGUAC
rnacentral:hammerhead_ribozyme from 1 species